CCUACGGGAGGCAGCAGUGGGGAAUUUUGGACAAUGGGGGCAACCCUGAUCCAGCCAUGCCGCGUGAGUGAAGAAGGCCUUCGGGUUGUAAAGCUCUUUCGGCCGGAACGAAAUCGCGCACGUGAAUAACGUGCGUGGAUGACGGUACCGGAGUAAGAAGCACCGGCUAACUACGUGCCAGCAGCCGCGGUAAUACGUAGGGUGCGAGCGUUAAUCGGAAUUACUGGGCGUAAAGCGUGCGCAGGCGGUUCGCUAAGUCAGACGUGAAAGCCCCGGGCUUAACCUGGGAACGGCGUUUGAAACUGGCGGGCUCGAGUACGGCAGAGGGGGGUGGAAUUCCACGUGUAGCAGUGAAAUGCGUAGAUAUGUGGAGGAACACCGAUGGCGAAGGCAGCCCCCUGGGCCGAUACUGACGCUCAUGCACGAAAGCGUGGGGAGCAAACAGGAUUAGAUACCCUGGUAGUCCACGCCCUAAACUUAUGUCAACUAGUUGUCGGGGAAGCAAUUCCUUGGUAACGCAGCUAACGCGUGAAGUUGACCGCCUGGGGAUACGGUCGCAAGAUUAAAACUCAAAUGAAUUGACGG
rnacentral:rRNA from 1 species